GCCUAAGGGGCGCAGCAGUAGGGAAUCUUCCACAAUGGACGAAAGUCUGAUGGAGCAACGCCGCGUGAGUGAAGAAGGGUUUCGGCUCGUAAAGCUCUGUUGGUAGUGAAGAAAGAUAGAGGUAGUAACUGGCCUUUAUUUGACGGUAAUUACUUAGAAAGUCACGGCUAACUACGUGCCAGCAGCCGCGGUAAUACGUAGGGGGCAAGCGGUGUCCGGAUUUAUUGGGCGGAAAGCGAGUGCAGGCG
rnacentral:rRNA from 1 species